rnacentral:tRNA from 1 species
CAGGGGGUAGUUUAAGGUAGAAUCUUGGCUUUGGGAGUCAAGGGUGGAAGUUUAAUUCUUUUCUCUCUGA